rnacentral:rRNA from 1 species
AGAGUUUGAUCCUGGCUCAGGAUGAACGCUAGCUACAGGCUUAACACAUGCAAGUCGAGGGGCAGCAUGACCUAGCAAUAGGUUGAUGGCGACCGGCGCACGGGUGAGUAACACGUAUCCAACCUACCGGUUAUUCCGGGAUAGCCUUUCGAAAGAGAGAUUAAUACCGGAUAGUAUAACGAGAAGGCAUCUUCUUGUUAUUAAAGAAUUUCGAUAACCGAUGGGGAUGCGUUCCAUUAGUUUGUGGCGGGUAACGGCCACCAAGACAUCGAUGGAUAGGGGUUCUGAGAGGAAGGUCCCCCACAUUGGAACUGAGACACGGUCCAAACUCCUACGGGAGCGA